GUUCGUCUGUUACCUUGUGCGCGAACAGAGCUUUUUGCGCCUCGAUGAAAGGUCCUUUUUGCGUCACUGUGUCGUUUUCUUUCGACGAACGCGAGCAGUUCACUGCGUAUGUGCUUGGGGCUGUAGAUCUUGUUUAAGGCCUCCACUGGCGGGUGAGUCAUGACGCCGCCCGGAAGUGCGACAGCGCCCCUGCUGAUGCUCCUGAUGAUCACGGCGCAGAGAGUGACCUCGCAGGAGCGCGGGCGUCCAAGCAGUCCAGGCGGGAUUCCUCAGGACCAC